UUGCUCUAAGUUCUUUGGAUUUUAUAUUCUGGGUUAAUUAUCAACCGGUUUCUGUUACCAGAUUUAGAAUUAUAAUUUGGUACCACUGCUGCCACCUGCCACUUGAGUUUUCACAUCCUAAUGGCACAAAAGCACAAAAUGGAAUUUCGAUUGUUGGAGGGAGAAGUUGGUUCCUUGGCAUUUUGAGAAAUUUGGAUCGUUGAAGGGAGCACUUGGCCCUUUGGCUUUUAAGGAGUUUGGAUCGUUGGAGGGAGAAGUUGGUUUCUUGGCAUUUUGAGGUAUAUAAUUAUAUGCCCUGUUUUUAUUCAAAGCCUAUUUUAAAUGUAUGAUUGGUUUGUGAGAAAUGAAUGAAAAACAAAAACAAGGGGACAUCAUUAUUUUUGGAUAUUCUCCUCCGAAAUAGAGAGUUAGACCUCAUUUUUUUGUGGAUUCUCUAAUUUCGGUCGUGGUGAUUCAUAAUUACACAUAUUUGUUGGAAUUCAACUUGCAAUCCAUACUCUAUGCACAGUCGAAUCUUAUUCUAAGGCUGCUGCCGUUUCAAUAUGAUUCAUUAAGACUUACCAUCAUCAACAAUUUGUCUCUUUCUGUCAAAAUGAUUCAUGUCUACCCUACAAUGAAAUGGACAUUAGAAUAACCAAUGUGUGAGAACUGCAUGUUGUUGCUGUUUCUUAUGGAAAUAGAGCAUUUUUUGCAGCCACAUCUUUUGUAAUCAGGAACUUCAUUCUGAUAACUGUACAAUGUCUUUUCAUAUCAGCUCUGUUGAAUGUAUAUAAAAACCAAGUUGCUUAUCGUA